GACGAACGCUGGCGGCGUGCCUAAUACAUGCAAGUCGAGCGCAGGAAACUGACGGAACUCUUCGGAGGGAAGGCAGUGGAAUGAGCGGCGGACGGGUGAGUAACACGUAAGGAACCUGCCUCAAGGAUUGGGAUAACUCCGAGAAAUCGGAGCUAAUACCGGAUAGUUCAACGGACCGCAUGGUCCGCUGAUGAAAGGCGCUCCGGCGUCACCUUGAGAUGGCCUUGCGGUGCAUUAGCUAGUUGGUGGGGUAACGGCUCACCAAGGCGACGAUGCAAGGCCGACCUGAGAGGGUGAUCGGCCAAACUGGAACUGAGACACGGCCCAGACUCCUACGGGAGGCAGAAGUAGGGAAUCUUCCACAAUGGACGAAAGUCUGAUGGAGCAACGCCGCGUGAGUGAUGAAGGUUUUCGGAUCGUAAAACUCUGUUGUAAGGGAAGAACACGUACGAGAGGUAAUGCUCGUACCUUGACGGUACCUUACGAGAAAGCCACGGCUAACUACGUGCCAGCCGCCGCCGUAAAAC
rnacentral:rRNA from 1 species